AAUCACACACUAAAAUCAAAAUCUCUCAAAUCUAUUUCCCAAUCCUUCUUCAAAGUUUAAAAAAUAUCCGAAUUAAAUAUAACCAAAUAUUCAGAUUUCUCGCAUUUCUUAGAAAAAGGGCUUCGGAGCCGCUCUGCGGUUUCGUUCCGGAACCCUAGAAUUUGCGUGUCGCUGUAAUUUUUCUGAAUUAUUGGGAUUUUGGUUUGAUGGAAUUUUAGUACAAGUGAAAAUUGCGAAUUUUAAAAAAAAUUAAUAUUCUGCCUCACCACCACCCACUUCCAGUUCCACCAAGAAAUCAAGAGGCAGACCACCUGGUUCUUCCAAGAAGCAUCAAUUGGAUGCUUUGGGGCACUCCUUUUCUUAACUUGCAAUAAAGAGAAAAAGAAAAGGAAGUUAAGAAGAGAAAGGGGAAGUUGUAAAUUCUAGAAGUUGAAGUUGUUGAAUCUGAUCAAGCUUCCAUAACUGGCGCUGGCGUAAGCAGAGAG